GGUUAAGUGAAUAAGGGCGCACGGUGGAUGCCUUGGCACUAGGAGCCGAUGAAGGACGGGACUAACACCGAUAUGCUUUGGGGAGCUGUAAGUAAGCUAUGAUCCAGAGAUUUCCGAAUGGGGAAACCCGG
rnacentral:rRNA from 1 species